rnacentral:rRNA from 1 species
AAAAAAGUAGCGAAGCAUGCUUACCGGCUGUCGAGAAAAGCCGCUAUUGCGUAUAUCACACCCGUACCGUAAACCGACACAGGUGGAUGAGGAGAGAAUCCUAAGGCCGGCGGGAGAAGCAUUGUUAAGGAACUCGGCAAAAUGACCCCGUAACUUCGGGAGAAGGGGUGCUCUUGAAAAAGAGCCGCAGAGAAUUGGCCCAAGCAACUGUUUAGCGAAAACACAGGUCUAUGCAAAACCGAAAGGUGAGGUAUAUGGGCUGACGCCUGCCCGGUGCUGGAAGGUUAAGAGGAGAGGUUAUCGAAAGAGAAGCCUUGAAUUUAAGCCCCAGUAAACGGCGGCCGUAACGAUAACGGUCCUAAGGUAGCGAAAUUCCUUGUCGGGUAAGUUCCGACCCGCACGAAAGGCGUAAUGAUUUGGGCACUGUCUCGACAAUGCACCCGGUGAAAUUGAAAUACCAGUGAAGAUGCUGGUUACCUGCGCCAGGACGGAAAGACCCCAUGGAGCUUUACUCUAGCUUGAUACUGGGAUUUGGUAUUGCAUGUACAGGAUAGGUGGGAGGCUGCGAAGUGAUGACGCCAGUUGUCACGGAGCCGAUGUUGGGAUACCACCCCUGCAGUACUGGGUUUCUAACCUGCGGCCGUAACCCGGCCGGGGGACAAUGUCUGGUGGGGAGUUUGACUGGGGCGGUCGCCUCCGAAAGAGUAUCGGAGGCGCUCAAAGGUUCCCUCAGAAUGGUUGGAAACCAUUCGAAGAGUGCAAAGGCAGAAGGGAGCUUGACUGCGACACCGACGGGUGGAGCAGGUACGAAAGUAGGACUUAGUGAUCCGGUGGUAUGAAAGUGGGAUUGCCAUCGCUCAACGGAUAAAAGCUACCCUGGGGAUAACAGGCUUAUCACUCCCAAGAGUUCACAUCGACGGAGUGGUUUGGCACCUCGAUGUCGGCUCAUCGCAUCCUGGGGCUGUAGUAGGUCCCAAGGGUUGGGCUGUUCGCCCAUUAAAGCGGUACGCGAGCUGGGUUCAGAACGUCGUGAGACAGUUCGGUCCCUAUCCGGCGUGGGCGUAGGAUAUCUGAGAGGAGCUGUCCUUAGUACGAGAGGACCGGGAUGGACUGACCUCUGGUGGACCGGUUGCACUGCCAAGUGCAUGGCCGGGUAGCCAAGUCGGGACGGGAUAAACGCUGAAGGCAUCUAAGCGUGAAGCCCCCCUCAAGAUGAGAUAUCCCAUAACGUAAGUUAGUAAGACCCCUUGAAGACGACGAGGUAGAUAGGUGAAAGGUGGAAGCACGGUGACGUGUGGAGCUGAUUCAUACUAAUAGGUCGAGGGCUUAAC